CCCGGUGACCACAGCGAGGGGGAUCCACCUCUUCCCAUUCCGAACAGAGCAGUUAAGCCCCUCAGCGCCGAUGGUACUGCUGCCGUAAGGCGGCGGGAGAGUAGGUCGUCGCCGGGA
rnacentral:rRNA from 1 species